GACGAACGCUGGCGGCGUGCUUAACACAUGCAAGUCGAACGGAAAGGCCCUGCUUUUGUGGGGUGCUCGAGUGGCGAACGGGUGAGUAACACGUGAGUAACCUGCCCUUGACUUUGGGAUAACUUCAGGAAACUGGGGCUAAUACCGGAUAGGAGCUCCUGCUGCAUGGUGGGGGUUGGAAAGUUUCGGCGGUUGGGGAUGGACUCGCGGCUUAUCAGCUUGUUGGUGGGGUAGUGGCUUACCAAGGCUUUGACGGGUAGCCGGCCUGAGAGGGUGACCGGCCACAUUGGGACUGAGAUACGGACCAGACUCCUACGGGAGGCAGCAGUGGGGAAUAUUGCACAAUGGGCGGAGGCCUGAUGCAGCAACGCCGCGUGCGGGAUGACGGCCUUCGGGUUGUAAACCGCUUUCGCCUGUGACGAAGCGUGAGUGACGGUAAUGGGUAAAGAAGCACCGGCUAACUACGUG
rnacentral:rRNA from 1 species